UUCGACACACUAUCAUUAACUGAAUCCAUAGGUUAAUGAGGCGAACCGGGGGAACUGAAACAUCUAAGUACCCCGAGGAAAAGAAAUCAACCGAGAUUCCCCCAGUAGCGGCGAGCGAACGGGGAGCAGCCCAGAGCCUGAAUCAGUAUGUGUGUUAGUGGAAGCGUCUGGAAAGGCGCGCGAUACAGGGUGACAGCCCCGUACACAAAAAUGCACAUGCUGUGAGCUCGAUGAGUAGGGCGGGACACGUGGUAUCCUGUCUGAAUAUGGGGGGACCAUCCUCCAAGGCUAAAUACUCCUGACUGACCGAUAGUGAACCAGUACCGUGAGGGAAAGGCGAAAAGAACCCCGGCGAGGGGAGUGAAAAAGAACCUGAAACCGUGUACGUACAAGCAGUGGGAGCACGCUUAGGCGUGUGACUGCGUACCUUUUGUAUAAUGGGUCAGCGACUUAUAUUCUGUAGCAAGGUUAACCGAAUAGGGGAGCCGAAGGGAAACCGAGUCUUAACUGGGCGUUAAGUUGCAGGGUAUAGACCCGAAACCCGGUGAUCUAGCCAUGGGCAGGUUGAAGGUUGGGUAACACUAACUGGAGGACCGAACCGACUAAUGUUGAAAAAUUAGCGGAUGACUUGUGGCUGGGGGUGAAAGGCCAAUCAAACCGGGAGAUAGCUGGUUCUCCCCGAAAGCUAUUUAGGUAGCGCCUCGUGAAUUCAUCUCCGGGGGUAGAGCACUGUUUCGGCAAGGGGGUCAUCCCGACUUACCAACCCGAUGCAAACUGCGAAUACCGGAGAAUGUUAUCACGGGAGACACACGGCGGGUGCUAACGUCCGUCGUGAAGAGGGAAACAACCCAGACCGCCAGCUAAGGUCCCAAAGUCAUGGUUAAGUGGGAAACGAUGUGGGAAGGCCCAGACAGCCAGGAUGUUGGCUUAGAAGCAGCCAUCAUUUAAAGAAAGCGUAAUAGCUCACUGGUCGAGUCGGCCUGCGCGGAAGAUGUAACGGGGCUAAACCAUGCACCGAAGCUGCGGCAGCGACGCUGAUGCGUUGUUGGGUAGGGGAGCGUUCUGUAAGCCUGCGAAGGUGUGCUGUGAGGCAUGCUGGAGGUAUCAGAAGUGCGAAUGCUGACAUAAGUAACGAUAAAGCGGGUGAAAAGCCCGCUCGCCGGAAGACCAAGGGUUCCUGUCCAACGUUAAUCGGGGCAGGGUGAGUCGACCCCUAAGGCGAGGCCGAAAGGCGUAGUCGAUGGGAAACAGGUUAAUAUUCCUGUACUUGGUGUUACUGCGAAGGGGGGACGGAGAAGGCUAUGUUGGCCGGGCGACGGUUGUCCCGGUUUAAGCGUGUAGGCUGGUUUUCCAGGCAAAUCCGGAAAAUCAAGGCU
rnacentral:rRNA from 1 species